GACGAACGCUGGCGGCGUGCCUAAUACAUGCAAGUCGAACGCAGUGGGGACGGGUGCGUACAACGUGGGUAACCUCCCAUCAGAGGGGAUAACACUUGGAAACAGGUGCUAAACCGCUACUGAUGGAUGGCCCCGCGGUGCAUUAGCUAGUUGGUGAGGUAACGGCUCACCAAGGCCACGAUGCGUAGACGACCGGAGAGGGUGAUCGGCCACACUGGAAGUGAGACACGGCCCAGAGUCCUACGGGAGGCAGCAGUAGGGAAUCGUCAGCAAUGGACGAAAGUCUGACGGAGCAACGCCGCGUGAGUGAAGAAGGUUUUCGGAUCGUAAAACUCUGUUGUUAGAGAAGCGGUAUCUAACCAGAAAGCCACGGCUAACUACGUGCCAGCAGCCGCGGUAAUUC
rnacentral:rRNA from 1 species